GACGAACGCUGGCGGCGUGCUUAACACAUGCAAGUCGAACGGAAAGGCCCUGCUUUUGUGGGGUGCUCGAGUGGCGAACGGGUGAGUAACACGUGAGUAACCUGCCCUUGACUUUGGGAUAACUUCAGGAAACUGGGGCUAAUACCGGAUAGGAGCUCCUGCUGCAUGGUGGGGGUUGGAAAGUUUCGGCGGUUGGGGAUGGACUCGCGGCUUAUCAGCUUGUUGGUGGGGUAGUGGCUUACCAAGGCUUUGACGGGUAGCCGGCCUGAGAGGGUGACCGGCGACAUUGGGACUGAGAUACGGCCCAGACUCCUACGGGAGGCAGCAGUGGGGAAUAUUGCACAAUGGGCGGAAGCCUGAUGCAGCGACGCCGCGUGCGGGAUGACGGCCUGCGGGUUGUAAACCGCUUUCGCCUGUGACGAAGCGUGAGUGACGGUAAUGGGUAAAGAAGCACCGGCUAACUACGUG
rnacentral:rRNA from 1 species